rnacentral:ribozyme from 1 species
UGCCCAGCAACUCCUAUCCCUACCUCCUCGCGGUACUGGCCGGGGUACGAGUACGAGAUCGGGUAACCAACCCCCGGUGGGAACUUUGGUCGUAUGCUGACAGGGAAGG